AUGUAAUUGAAACGCAAAGUAAAUAAUUGUGCCUGCUCGCAAACGAAAAAAAAACCGACUUCAAUGACAUCGACGAGUAAUACAACGUAGAUCGACGAAAAAAA